GGCUUAUUGGAGUGUGGAAAAAAACACGUCAAACUAUUUUUCUAUUGAAGAUUGAUUUAGGAAAGAAUCAAGUAUUAAAUAUCUAAAAGAAACGAGUCUACGCACUCUAAUACCCAAAUGUUAACUCUUCAAAAGACUGCAUCUCUUAUCAAAAUUACACCAGAUUGUUUUACUCAAGGCUUGUGUUUUUCUUUGUCGUUCAUUUUCAGAAUAACCAGCUGCCUGGAUGCCGGUGAAGCCAAACGUCCAACAGUAACCUCUGCAAAAAAAAAAAAAAAUAUAUAUAUAUAUAUAUAUAUAUAUAUAUAUAUAUAUAUGAAGAAGAAUAACAACACGCGUGUCUAUCUGAAUACUAGGUUUGCUCCUACUUACAUGAAUUCAUGAAGUACAAUUACUGCUCAGCUGCUGCUCAUGUACUCACCAACAGGAUUAUUCUCUUUGGGAAUAUUUUGCCUAAGUUCUCUGCAUGUUCUUUAAGAGUCACUCGGUAGGUCUGUGGCCUAAACUAGGUCGGAACGUGUAUGCGAUUUCUCAGGCAUUCCAGUCAGCUCCCCUGCAGAGCAGAACGACCUCAUAAAUAAUACCUCCCUUGAAGUGCACAUCAGAAAGGCAACUGAUUUCCAGUGCUGCCCCGAGGAUCCCUUUGUGAUCUACCAGUAUAUGCUGUCAAUUGAGGAGGGACGCCCUCAAAAUUUAAACGAGGGGGACGGCAUUAAGACAGCCUGUAAAGAAUAUGAGAAACUGCAGUGUGACUCUAACUGCGAUAAACAAUGACCACUAGAAACAUGGUUGGCAAGAAUUUCCAUUAUUAUUCUGGGGUAGGAGUGGGAGCCCACUGUAUCCUGCGGAAAUGAAAUGGCAUCAGUGCUGUGGCUACAGCACAACAGAAAAACAGUCCUGGAAGUGUUCUUAAGUUUGUUUGUUUGUGUCUUUCGGCUUUUCCCGGUUUUUAAGUAACAGUGGAAAUAUUGUAAUUUUAGUAAUGCAUGCAUUCAAGAUAAUGAACUGGUAUUUAAUUAUGUUUUCUAUACUAUUGUAACCCAAGACAAAGUUCCUGGCAUACAGUUCCUCUCAGUAUUUAAUGUAAACCAUCUUCACUGUUUAUUUACUUAUUUUUAUAGCGAUCUUCAUUAUUGCUUAAACCAGAGGCUGGUAAAAUAAUCAUUAUAAAAUUGUGUGGCCAAAAUACAGUUUUUUUUCCCCUCUGGUGCAUAACAGUGAGAGAACAAGCAAGCCACUUUCCUGAAUAAUGCACAAAAAUACAGAUAUUAAAAGUAAACAGUUUUAAAAUUGAGUAUGAGAACAGACUGCAUAGUCUGCAGAAUCACAUCUAUAUCUGCAAUUCCUUUUUGAAGUAAAAGUUUAAAUGUUGCUUUCUAGAUUGUAAUUAUUUUUAUGCAUUCUUUUUCUUUUUUUUUCUGUCUUACAUUGUUUGUUUUCUUUACCUUUAAUAUUUUGUAUUAGAAAUGUCAUAUAUUUUACUGCAGUCACUGCUCAGUUUCUAUGAAGCAGGUAUUCUAUGUAACAGCAACUGCUAGUAUUUGAGUUUUACUCAAUUUGUAUGUCUUGUUUCCCAACCUGAAAUUUCACUGUAUGUGUCUGUCUCUGAUGAUCUACUGUGAUGUCUCUUACUGGCCUUCUUUCAAACUUGUACUGGUGCACAAGGCGCCAUUGUAAAGUUAGAACGCUAGAACCUUCCUUCAGGUCUUCUCAAGGCCUCAAGUUCCUCCUAUCCCGCUUUGAUGUUGAAGUAGUUUUUCUUUUCCAUCAUGCAUUGUUCCCUCUGUCUUGUUAUUAUUCACCAGAAAUCUUCAAGAAAAAUACAUACC